rnacentral:hammerhead_ribozyme from 1 species
GCACAGCUGAGGAGUCCCAUAAUAGGACGAAACGGCCGUUCAGUGC